UAGACGCGAGCGUUAUCCGGAUUUAUUGCGUUUAAAGGGUGCGUACGCGGAUCAAUAAGUCAGUGGUAGAAAUCUCUGCAGCUUAACUGUAGACUUGCCAUUGAUACUGUGUGGUCUUGAGUAUGGUCAAGGUAGGCGGAAUGUGUAAUGUAGCGGUGAAAUGCUUAGAUAUUACACAGAACACCGAUUGCCAAGGCAGCUUGCUGGGCCAAUACUGACGCUGAUGCACGAAAGCGUGGGGAUCGAACAGGAUUAGAUACCCUGGUAGUCCACGCCGUAAACGAUGAUCACUCGCUGUUAGCGAUAUACAGUUAGCGGCUAAGCAAAAGCAUUAAGUGAUCCACCUGGGGAGUACGGCCGCAAGGCUGAAACUCAAAGGAAUUGACGGGGGCCCGCACAAGCGGAGGAACAUGUGGUUUAAUUCGAUGAUACGCGAGGAACCUUACCUGGGCUUAAAUGUAGAGUGCAUGAGGUAGAAAUACUUCUUUUCUUCGGAACUCUCUGCAAGGUGCUGCAUGGUUGUCGUCAGCUCGUGCCGUGAGGUGUCGGGUUAAGUCCCAUAACGAGCGCAACCCUUAUCGUUAGUUGCCAGCGGGUAAUGCCGGGGACUCUAGCGAAACUGCCGGUGUAAACCGAGAGGAAGGUGGGGAUGACGUCAAAUCAGCACGGCCCUUAUGUCCAGGGCUACACACGUGUUACAAUGGCCGGUACAAGAGGGCAGCUACCUGGAGACAGGAUGCGAAUCUCGAAAGCCGGUCUCAGUUCGGAUCGGAGUCUUGCAACUCGACUUCCGUGAAGCUGGAUUCGUUAGUAAUCGCGCAUCAGCCAUGGCGCGGUGAAUACGUUCCGG
rnacentral:rRNA from 1 species